rnacentral:ncRNA from 1 species
UAGAUAGGCGUAGGCGAUCCUUUAGGUGCGGAAGCUACACACGCUCUUGCAGCAAGUAUGGGCGGCAUGCGUACAGCCGGAGAUCUGGUUA